UGAACGCUAGCGGUGCGCCUAACACAUGCAAGUCGAGCGGUAGAAUUUUGUAGCUUGCUACAGAAUUGAGAGCGGCGAACGGGUGAGUAACAUGUUGAUAUCUGCCCCCAAGUCAGGGAUAGCCAUUGGAAACGAUGAUUAAUACCGGAUAGUCUCUACGGAGUAAAAAUUUAUUGCUUGGGGAGGAGUCUACAUUCUAUCAGAUAGUUGGUGAGGUAAAAACUCACCAAGUCUAUGACGGAUAGCUGGUCUGAGAGGAUGAUCAGCCACAAUGAAACUGAGACACGGUUCAUACUCCUACGGGAGGCAGCAGUGAGGAAUCUUCCACAAUGGACGAAAGUCUGAUGGAGCGACACCGCGUGAGGAUGAAGGCCUACNGUUGUAACUUCUUUUCUGAAGGAGCAUAAUGAGA
rnacentral:rRNA from 1 species